UGCCAUUAAUCAUGGCAGUGCACUCUAAACUAAGAAGUUACCUGAGGUCCGAAAAGGGGGCGGGGCUAGACGGCACUGUACUACACAGUGCCUUGCCAGUUGCCAGCAGUAUGGGAGAAUGGAGGGAAUGUGAGCAGCAGCAUGGCCAAAACAGAUUAAGGACCAGCAAGUCCGAAACGCGUAGGUGAACAAUUAGCAAGUGAAGCCCUGACGUCACUCAGCCUGCGCCAGACGGGUGAGGGGACGAAAGAACAAACAGAAGUAUCGGGAACCAGCCGAAGGGCCGUGAUCCACACGGGAGAGCCGAAGUUUGAGCGUGACUCAAGGUCCCCGUUGGUUCCCCGCUUCCGGUGACGUCAACGGAAGUGUACAGACGGGUCCCAGGGCUGCGGCCGGCGGUGGGCGGGAGAGCAG